rnacentral:rRNA from 1 species
UGGGGAAUAUUGGACAAUGGGCGAAAGCCUGAUCCAGCCAUGCCGCGUGUGUGAAGAAGGUCUUCGGAUUGUAAAGCACUUUAAGUUGGGAGGAAGGGCAGUUACCUAAUACGUAUCUGUUUUGACGUUACCGACAGAAUAAGCACCGGCUAACUCUGUGCCAGCAGCCGCGGUAAUACAGAGGGUGCAAGCGUUAAUCGGAAUUACUGGGCGUAAAGCGCGCGUAGGUGGUUUGUUAAGUUGGAUGUGAAAUCCCCGGGCUCAACCUGGGAACUGCAUCCAAAACUGGCAAGCUAGAGUAUGGUAGAGGGUGGUGGAAUUUCCUGUGUAGCGGUGAAAUGCGUAGAUAUAGGAAGGAACACCAGUGGCGAAGGCGACCACCUGGACUGAUACUGACACUGAGGUGCGAAAGCGUGGGGAGCAAACAGGAUUAGAUACCCCAGUAGUCCCUGAGCGGGCUGGCAAGGCGCAU